AUUGAACGCUGGCGGCAGGCCUAACACAUGCAAGUCGAACGAGUGGCGGACGGGUGAGUAAUGUCUGGGAAACUGCCCGAUGGCGGGGGAUAACUACUGGAAACGGUAGCUAAUACCGCAUACCAUCGGAUGUGCCCAGAUGGGAUUAGCUAGUAGGUGGGGUAACGGCUCACCUAGGCGACGAUCCCUAGCUGGUCUGAGAGGAUGACGAGGCACACUGGAACUGAGACACGGUCCAGACUCAUACGGGAGGCAGCAGUGGGGAAUAUUGGGCAAGGGACGAAAGCCUGAAGCAGCAAUGCCGCGUGUGUGAAGAAGGCCUUAGGAUUGUAAAGUACUUUCAGCGAGGAGGCGUGACUCGCAGAGGAAGCACCGGAUAACUCCGUGCCAGCAGCCGCGGUAAGUC
rnacentral:rRNA from 1 species